rnacentral:rRNA from 1 species
UACGGAGGGGGCUAGCGUUGUUCGGAAUUACUGGGCGUAAAGCGCGCGUAGGCGGACCUGCAAGUCGGGGGUGAAAGCCCGAGGCUCAACCUCGGAACUGCCUUCGAUACUGCAGGUCUCGAGUCCGGGAGAGGUGAGUGGAAUUCCUAGUGUAGAGGUGAAAUUCGUAGAUAUUAGGAAGAACACCAGUGGCGAAGGCGGCUCACUGGCACGGUACUGACGCUGAGGCGCGAAAGCGUGGGGAGCAAACAGG